CUUACAUUCUAGCCUAUUGUUACAUCAUGGUACCUAUAUCAUCUGCUUCAUCUCACUAUAUCAUCCAGGAUGAAUCAUCUUAUAUCUUGGGAAGAAAGGGAGGGUCAUAAAGAGCAGUAGAAGAGAACUUUCAGAUCUGCAACAGCCGGCAGCUGGAUCUCUGCACAUCAAACCCCAUUAACACUAUGUUAAUAGGGAGGCUGCUCUCAGCCAAAGCUGAGGGGGACUAACUCUCUCCCUGCUCCCUCCUUCGAGCAGCCCUUCCUCCUUUCCUCAUUCACGCAGAACCACGCCUGUGUCUCCACCUCAUAUACACCCAGAAUCUCUGCCUGAUCAGUACAUCCAAGGGAAUAUAGUAAGUCAGCGAGGCAGACGUUUCCUGGUCUCCUGUCACGUCUUCUGGGUCUGCAGUAAAGAUGGACUGUCCGUUUCCUGUGUGGGUAACUCCUGCUGAGUCAGUUUAUCAGCAUGACAUCGCUGAAAAGUCCACAGCAGCAUGCGCUUCUACGCUCUCCAGAUACUCACCAUUGGUACUGCUUGUUCACUUCUGGGAAAUCUUAAGAAAACGCAGAAGCAUUGUCGAACUCAAAAGCGGAAGUCAAGGAUUUGAAAUGUGAUGGUACAUCCUGCUCCCCACCCCCCCCCCCCCCCCUAAAAGCAGCAGGAUUUGAAGUAACGUCUUCCUUACUCAUUGUAACUUCAUGUUUCCUUAAGUCUUAUUUUAAAAAUUGGUCUGCCAUUCAAGAUUAUGUUUCCAAGAUUAUUUUCCAGGCUUUAUUAAAGCUGCCAUAAAACAGCAGU
rnacentral:lncRNA from 1 species